UACGGAGGGUGCAAGCGUUAAUCGGAAUUACUGGGCGUAAAGCGUGCGCAGGCGGUUUGUUAAGUCUGUUGUGAAAUCCCCGAGCUCAACUUGGGAAUUGCAAUGGAUACUGGCAGGCUGGAGUAUGGUAGAGGAAGGUGGAAUUCCCGGUGUAGCAGUGAAAUGCGUAGAGAUCAUGAGGAAGACCAGUGGCGAAGGCGGGUCUCUGGACAGUUCCUGACACUGAGGCACGAAGGCCAGGGGAGCAAACGGG
rnacentral:rRNA from 1 species